rnacentral:rRNA from 1 species
GACGAACGCUGGCGGCGCACUUAACACAUGCAAGUCGAGCGAAGCGGCGGACGGGUGAGUAACACGUGAGUAACCUGCCUUAGACAUUGGGAUAGCCUCGGGAAACCGGGAUUAAUACCAAAUGGUCUAAGAUGGACUCGCGUCCCAUUAGCUAGUUGGUGGGUAACGGCCCACCAAGGCGACGAUGGGUAGCCGGACUGGGAGGGUGAACGGACAGAUUGGAACAGGGAAACGGUCCAAACUCGACGGGAGGCAGAAGGGGGGAAUAGUGCACAAUGGAGGGAACUCUGAUGCAGAGACGCAGCGGGAACGAAGAAGGCUUUAGAGGCGUAAAGUUCUUUUAUAUGGGAAGCGGUACCAUAAGAAAAAGCCCCGGCUAACUACGUGCCAGCCGCCGCGGUAAUAC